rnacentral:rRNA from 1 species
CUCUAAGUGGAGGCUUCGGCCAAAGCUUAGAGUGGACAGCGGCGAAAGGGUGAGUAACGCGUAGUUACCUGCCCCAGGGUCCAGAAUAGCCUCGGGAAACUGAGGGUAAUGCUGGAUAAUAUCUCCGGAUCAAAGGUGAGAUUCCGCCCUGGGAGGGGACUGCGUACUACUAGCUUGUUGGUGGGGUAAUGGCCUACCAAGGCUACGAUGGUUAGCGGGCGUGAGAGCGUGGCCCGCCACACUGGGACUGAGACACUGCCCAGACACCUACGGGUGGCUGCAGUCGAGAAUCUUCCUCAAUGGGCGAAAGCCUGAAGGAGCAAUGCCGCGUGCGGGAUGAAGGCCCUCGGGUUGUAAACCGUGAAAGUAAGGAGGAAGGCUCUGCGAAGAGCAGAGUUUGACCGAUUUACAGUAAGGACGGGCUAAGUUCGUGCCAGCAGCCGCGGUAAGACGAACCGUCCAAACGUUAUUCGGAAUUAUUGGGCUUAAAGGGUGCGUAGGCGGCGCUGUAAGUCAGGUGUGAAAUCCCACGGCUCAACCGUGGAACUGCGCUUGAUACUGCAGUGCUUGAGGGAGACAGAGGUAAGCGGAACUGAUGGUGGAGCGGUGAAAUGCGUUGAUAUCAUCAGGAACACCAGUGGCGAAAGCGGCUUACUGGGUCUCUUCUGACGCUGAGGCACGAAAGCUAGGGUAGCGAACGGGAUUAGAUACCCCGGUAGUCCUAGCCGUAA